CUGUUCAAGUUUAAGUUUGGGUGCAGUUACUGAAGCGUUCAGAGGUUUUUGUACAGUCGCUCUAUUAGUUUGUAUCACUGUGGUGGACUUUCGGCAGCGGCACCAGACUGGAUGUUGGCAGCCUCACUCCUCCUAAAGUGAGCGUCCUGCCGCCCUCCAGUGAAGAGAUCUCCACAAAGAAAACAGCAACACUGAUGUGUGUGCUCAACAAGGGUUUCCCCUCAGACUGGAGUGUGA